GUGGGGAAUAUUGGACAAUGGGCGAAAGCCUGAUCCAGCCAUGCCGCGUGUGUGAAGAAGGUCUUCGGAUUGUAAAGCACUUUAAGUUGGGAGGAAGGGCAUUAACCUAAUACGUUAGUGUUUUGACGUUACCGACAGAAUAAGCACCGGCUAACUUCGUGCCAGCAGCCGCGGUAAUACGAAGGGUGCAAGCGUUAAUCGGAAUUACUGGGCGUAAAGCGCGCGUAGGUGGUUCGUUAAGUUGGAUGUGAAAGCCCCGGGCUCAACCUGGGAACUGCAUCCAAAACUGGCGAGCUAGAGGACGGUAGAGGGUGGUGGAAUUUCCUGUGUAGCGGUGAAAUGCGUAGAUAUAGGAAGGAACACCAGUGGCGAAGGCGACCACCUGGACUGAUACUGACACUGAGGUGCGAAAGCGUGGGGAGCAAACAGGAUUAGAAACCCCAGUAGUCC
rnacentral:rRNA from 1 species